rnacentral:rRNA from 1 species
GACGAACGCUGGCGGCGCGCUUAACACAUGCAAGUCGAGCGAAGCGGCGGACGGGUGAGUAACACGUGAGUAACCUGCCUUAGACAUUGGGAUAGCCUCGGGAAACCGGGAUUAAUACCACAUGGUCUAAGAUGGACUCGCGUCCCAUUGGGUAGUUGGGAGGUAACGGCCCACCAAGGCGCCGAUGGGUAGCCGGCCUGAGAGGGUGAACGGCAACAUUGGAACUGAGAAACGUUCCAAACGCGACGGGAGGCAGCAGUGGGGAAUAUUGCACAAUGGAGGGAACUCUGAUGCAGCUACGCCGCGUGAACGAAGAAGGCUUUCGAGUCGUAAAGUUCUUUUAUAUGGGAAGCGGUACCAUAAGAAAAAGCCCCGGCUAACUACGUGCCAGCCGCCGCGGUAAUUC